rnacentral:rRNA from 1 species
CUGUCGUAUUAUGUGGUCGCAACAUCAAAAAGGAAGUCUGAAUUUUCUACUGAGGUCGGCUCAAAAUAUUUGAUCUUAGGUGCAUUUCCCUCUGGAAUGUUAUUGUUCGGGUGCGACCGGAUUACUACCGAUCAAUUUUUUGGAACUUACUAG